AGUGAACGCUGGCGGUAGGCCUAACACAUGCAAGUCGAACGGCAGCUCAGUAAGAGCUUGCUCUUACGGGUGGCGAGUGGCGGACGGGUGAGGAAUACAUCGGAAUCUACUUUUUCGUGGGGGAUAACGUAGGGAAACUUACGCUAAUACCGCAUACGACCUACGGGUGAAAGCAGGGGAUCUUCGGACCUUGCGCGAUUGAAUGAGCCGAUGUCGGAUUAGCUAGUUGGCGGGGUAAAGGCCCACCAAGGCGACGAUCCGUAGCUGGUCUGAGAGGAUGAUCAGCCGAACUGGAACUGAGACACGGUCCAGACUCCUACGGGAGGCAGCAGUGGGGAAUAUUGGACAAAGGGCGCAAGCCUGAUCCAGCCAUACCGCGUGGGUGAAGAAGGCCUUCGGGUUGUAAAGCCCUUUUGUUGGGAAAGAAAAGCAGCAGGUUAAUACCCCGCUGUUCUGACGGUACCCAAAGAAUAAGCACCGGCUAACUUCGUG
rnacentral:rRNA from 1 species